ACGAAGGGGGCGAGCGUUGUUCGGAAUUACUGGGCGUAAAGGGCGCGCAGGCGGCCUUAGAAGUCAGAUGUGAAAGCCCCGGGCUCAACCUGGGAAUGGCAUUUGAUACUCUGAGGCUGGAGUACGGGAGAGGAGAGUGGAAUUCCCAGUGUAGAGGUGAAAUUCGUAGAUAUUGGGAAGAACGCCGGUGGCGAAGGCGGCUCUCUGGACCGUAACUGACGCUGAGGCGCGAAAGCGUGGGGAGCAAACAGGA
rnacentral:rRNA from 1 species